UCGGGUGUGGUGUACGGUGCACCACUGCGUUCCUUUCGUGAAAGGUUAAACUCAAGCAGUUGGACGGGGUUCGACUCCCCGCACCCGAA